GUAGCGCUCCCUUUUGGGAUCAACGAGCUGUGUGGCGCCUGUGCGGCUUCUGAGAGACCGGCUGGUGGCGCUUGGCGGCUUCCUGCCAAUCCACCCUUCUCCUCCCGCGCAAGGGGGCAAUCCCAAUCCCACCACCGGGAACACCCAGGCCAAAAGAACGGGAGUUACACUCAAAGUCUUCCCCCUUCUUAUCACUCCUGCCGAUUUCCCUCUUCCUUUUUGCACGCCUCCACUCUUCCCCACCGGAAACGCCGCCCCUUCCUCCUACAGUUCCUCCCAGCAGUCCCUCAACGCCUGUCUUCCCUCGCGCGUAGAGAGUGACUCGAAGGACCCCCUCUCCUCUUCGCUGCAGCCCCUCCCCAUGCACGCUGGGAGACUCUUGGAGGGGAUAAGGUGGGGCCCGGAGAGGAAGAGAAGACAAUCGGAUUGGAUAGGCAGCUGCCAUGGCAACUGGAGGCUGUGGUUAUAUUGUCAUAGUAACCGAUGUGUGCGGACAGGGUCACCCUCCCCUUGGCCAAUGGAUUCCCAGGAAACCACCCAGGGUUCCCCGUUGGCUUCCCUUCCAUCUAAAGGCCUCCCCCAAGUUAGGAAUCGAUAUAGUUCUCCCCGGUGGUGAAGUCCACUUCCUCCUCCCUUCCCACUUCCCACAGCAACUGGGGGGACACCCCGAGGCAUUCACCAUGGGCUUUUCCACCCGCCUGCGAGCGGGAACCACCUCCGUAGUUUCCUCUCAGAGCCGGGCGUGGAGAGGGCUGGGCCUGCGAAGAGGAUGCAUGGCCUGGAGGCUGGCGGGCGGCGGGCUGGAGUCGGGAGGGCGAGGCGACAGCGCCAAGCGGCGAGGAAGGGCAAGGGGUUUCCCCACAACUGCCUUGGGCUCUGGGAGGCGGGAUCCCGCCUGGACGGGGUCCCUGAGGGAGGAGAGCGGCACACGACAGCCGCGAUGCCUUCCCUGCCGACGGGGAUAGCCGACUUCUGGCGAGUCGACCCCUCCCCCAAAUCCACCCCACCCGCGUACUCCCUCCUGACCUAGCUGUCGCGAGCCUGCCGCGAGGAGGCCAGGGUGAGGGUGGGAACACAUCCUAGAAGGCUAACACGUGGUUUUCUAUCAUUUAAGCCGGGGACAAGCCGGAAGGCUGACUAGCGCCAUCACUCUGAUAGGCACCCCGCAGUGGGGAUCCUGCUUGAUUAUUAAAGGCAGACCUCCAAGUUCCUCCCUGCUCUGCAACCUUUCUCUUCUCACGGGUCUGCAGUGUUUUAAAAGUCGUCAUUCUGUGUCGUUGAGUUAGAGAGGAAAACAUCGGAUAAAAGAGGAUCAAGAAGAACGAACCCUAGAUACAUCUGUCUGGUGAAAGGAGUCUAGGAAAAGAAGUUUCAUUCUUAGAACAAAUCUUUUUGGAUAUUUAUUAUGUGUGUUUUGUGUCAGGUUUCGGGCCAAAAAGCUGAAAUAAAGAACGAAGUCAAUAAUAAUAUGAAGUGUAUGAGAAAUAGCUGGAAAAUUCAUCAUCCAUGACUUGAAGAAAUUGACGUUUUACAAGUUAUAUUUUCGGUGAAGAGGCACUUUCAAGAUCCUUCUCUGAGACCUGCACCAAUAAGACUAUACCAAUGUUCAGUUGAAACAUCAGACACUGUUCUGGUUAUGAUGGACACCACAGUGAAAGAGACCUGGUCCCUGCCUUGAGGAAACCCAACUGCUGGUAGAGAGCUCAGAGUAAUGAUUAGGAUGCAAUAUGAGGGAUGCAGUAAUUGGGAUCUACUUCUGGGAACCGUCACAGCCUGAGAAAGAUGGCAUGCCCUGAAUGGAAUUCACAGAGAAUUAUUUUAAGUCAUGCUACUGGCCCCGCCCAGUUAUGUAACAACUUGCAUUUCCUCAAUUCUCUGGAAUGUGGCCAGUCAGGAACUUCCACAUUUGGUUUUUUUUUUUUCCCCCAUUUGUGGGUAAGAAAGUAAAAGAGGCAGGAAAACUGAAUUGAGAAAGAAGAAAGAAUAGGGGAAGAGAGAAAGAAAAAAGAAAACCAUGAAGCCUGGAAGAGGAGAAAGAAGAGAUAGAUGAGCAAAGAAGCACAUUGCCUGGUGGUAGUAAUAGUUGUCAGACACCCAUCUAUUAUAAUCUGUUUUCCAUGGGAGAUUUUAAGAAGAGGCUAGAUCCCCAGUCUGUCUUAAAAUCAAGAAAAGGGACUCUGUUGCCUCUAAAGUAUACUUCCAGACUCAGCAAUCUCUAAAUUCUGAGUGGGGCAUCCCUAGUUUUGCUGCCUAAAAUCUAUGACAGUUGGAAAUGAUUCCAUUUAAGAUCCAGUUCAAGAAGCUAUACACCCUGAGGAACUUUAUAUUGCCAUUUAGAGGACCGAUAUUCUCCAGAUUGCUUGAGCCCAGGAGUUUGAGACCAGCCUGGGCAACAUGGCAAAACUCCAUCUCUACCAAAAAAAAAAAAAAAACAAAAUUAGCUGGGCAUGGUGGUACACAUCUGUAGAACCAGCUACUCUGGAGGCUGAGCUGAGAGAACCCCUUGAGCCUAGGAGAUGGAGGUUGCUGUGAGCCAAGAUCGUGCCACUGCACUCAAGCCUGGGUGACAGAGCCAGACCCUAUCUCAUAAAUAAAUAAAUGUCAAUAUUCUCCAAAACAGAUUGUAUCAUUUGAAUUUGGACUUUGUGUACACUUGAUACUACACUUAAUCUUUGCCAAAAAGCCGAGAAGCAAUGGACUUUGGGUACAAGGUGGAAUAUCACUCUACUCUCACCCAUUUUAGUAUGAGUGAAAAUACCAUUUAAAACAAAACAAAACAAAACAAAAUAAGGUAGUCCAGACAGUUGUAAACUACUGUAUAUUCUGCAGAAAGUCCUCUUUUACCCCUCAGGUAAGCUUCAGAUAGAUAGCCAGAAACCUUUGAACUAAAUCUAAUAAUCUCGUGUAAAUUUUCAUUUUCUCCUCUUUUUUUUUUUUGAGACGGAUCUUGCUCUGUCAUGCAGGCUGGAGUGCAGUGAGGUAAUCUCAGUUCACUGCAACCUCUGCCUCCAGGAUCCAAGCAAUUCUCAUGCCUCAGCCUCCCAAGUAGCUGGGAUUACUGGUGCAUGCCACCAUGCCCAGUUCAUUUUUUUGUAUCUUUAGUGGAGACAGGGUUUCACCGUGUUGGCUAGGCUGGUCUCAAACUCCUGACCUCAAGUGAUCUGCCCACCUUGGCCUCCCAAAGUGCUGGAAUUACAGGCAUGAGUCACCACACCCAUUUGGUAGUACUAAUUAUGUUUUCUUUACCCAAAUUAUCUUUUACCUUGAAUUUAAUGAUAUUAAAAAUCUUUUUUCAUUCUACCACUUUAACCUCAUGUUUUUUGGGGUUUUUUUGUUUUGUUUUUUUUUUUGUUUAUGUUUUUUUUUUUGAGACAGGGUCUUACUGUGUUGCUGGGCUGGAGUGUAGUGCAGUGGCAUGAUCAUGGCCCAUUGCAUCCUUGAUCUCCUGGGAUCAAGCAAUCCUCCCACCUCAGCCUCUUGAGUAGCUGGGACCACAAGUGUGCACCACCACACCCAGCUAAUUUUUUUAUUUUGUGUAGAGAUGGGGUUUCACCAUGUUGCCCAGGCUGGUCUCAAACUCCUGGGCUCAAACAAUCCACCCGCCUCAACUUCCCAAAGUGCUGGGAUUACAUGGGUGAGCCACCGUGCCCAGCCUAAUCUCAUCUUUAAUUCAUUAUACUGCUAUGGUUCUAGUGGUACUUAACAAAUGUGUGACUAUAGAAAUUCCUUAAAUGGAAAUAUAAUGACAGAACUGGGUGAUUUAUUGGAUGGGAAGGAAUCAAGAAGACUCUCAGGUUUCUGCUUGAGAAAUGGAUGAAAAUAGAAAAUGUAAG
rnacentral:lncRNA from 1 species